CUUGUGGACCCGACAGUGGACGGGAGAUGCCAAUUCAAAGCGGCAUAUGGAGUCCUUGCCUUACAAAGGGGAGGAGUUGUUUGGAGACGGCCUCUCGGACCUUGUCUCUACGGCUACGGCUGUGUACAAGAAGGUGCAGAACUCCUCCCACGCUCGGGAACAGCCUCCACAAACGGAAAGUGCUCCUUCAUACUUCAAUAUGUGAAGAAGCAUAAUUUUUUUAGGAACAGCGCUGCAGAGUUUAUCUGUUGCCAUGACGAUUUUUGUCUGACGUGUGGUGUGAAUAUGCGCGCUGUCAUCAUCUUUCCACGCCAGAGCUCCGGGUCGGAUUCCCGCGCCAGAGAUCGCAGCCAAUCUGUGUGUAUCCACGUUUCUUCUUGGGGGUUAUAAGGUAAA